rnacentral:pre_miRNA from 1 species
AGUGGGGUAUCUGGGUCAAAUGGCAGUUCCAUUCCCAGUUUUCUAAGGAAUCUCCAUACUACUUUCCAGAUUGGUUGCAGCAUUUGCAGUCCCAUCAGCAAU